rnacentral:misc_RNA from 1 species
GUUUAAACAAAUCCAUUAUUAGAUCGAGGGAGCUUUUGUCAUCCAGUUUCUCAAAUGAUGAGGGAAGGUUUGUGAAACACAGUAUGAACUUUACAAAGGUUUGGAGCAGCGAACUAGAGUUAAAAGGUCGUUGCAUAUUGUGCAAAAAGCAGGCCCUGGAGACAGGAGGGAUAUGUACCAUAUGGAGACCAAUAUGCCCCGACGGGUACGUCUCCAUUGGGGAUAUAGC